GGGGAAUAUUGGACGAUGGGGGGAACCCUGAUCCAGCGAYGCCGCGUGWGUGAAGAAUGCCUGAGGGUUGUAAAGCACUUUWGUUGGGGARGAAUAKYACCGCAUGAAGAGUGUGUUAUUUGGACCGUACCCAAAGAAUAAGCACCGGCUAACUCCGUGCCAGCAGCCGCGGUAAUACGGAGGGUGCGAGCGUUAAUCGGAAUGACUGGGCGUAAAGGGUGCGUAGGCGGUUAUACAAGUUAGCCGUGAAAGMCCUGGGCUCAACCUGGGGAGUGAGCKUUAAUACUGUAUGMCUUGAGUAUKACAGAGGGUAGUGGAAUUUMUGGUGUAGCGGUGAAAUGCGUAGAUAUCACAAGGAACACCGGUGGCGAACGCAGCUACCUGRGUCAAUACUGACACUGAGGCACGAAAGCGUGGGGAGCGAACAGGAUUAGAUACCCUGGUAGUCCACGCUGUAAACGAUGUCAACCAGCUGUUUGGGCUAUAGAAUGUCUAUUAGCCAAGCGAACGCGAUAAGUUGACCGCCUGGGGAGUACGGUCGCAAGAUUAAAACUCAAAAGGAAAUUGGGCCG
rnacentral:rRNA from 1 species